GGGUGCGAUCAUACCGGCAAUAAUACACCGGAUCCCAUCAGAACUCAGAAGUUAAGCGUUCUUGGGCUAGAGUAGCACUAGGAUGGGUGACCCGCUAGGAAGUCCUCGUAUUGCACCCC